rnacentral:tRNA from 6 species
GCGCCCGUAGCUCAGGGGAUAGAGCACCGGUCUCCGGAACCGGGUGCGCAGGUUCGAUUCCUGCCGGGCGCACCA